CCUACGGGUGGCAGCAGUGAGGAAUAUUGGUCAAUGGACGAGAGUCUGAACCAGCCAAGUAGCGUGAAGGAUGUCUGCCCUAUGGGUUGUAAACUUCUUUUAUAUGGGAAUAAAAUGUUCCACGUGUGGGAUUUUGUAUGUACCAUAUGAAUAAGGAUCGGCUAACUCCGUGCCAGCAGCCGCGGUAAUACGGAGGAUCCGAGCGUUAUCCGGAUUUAUUGGGUUUAAAGGGAGCGUAGGUGGAUUGUUAAGUCAGUUGUGAAAGUUUGCGGCUCAACCGUAAAAUUGCAGUUGAAACUGGCAGUCUUGAGUACAGUAGAGGUGGGCGGAAUUCGUGGUGUAGCGGUGAAAUGCUUAGAUAUCACGAAGAACUCCGAUUGCGAAGGCAGUUCACUGGACUGCAACUGACACUGAGGCUCGAAAGUGUGGGUAUCAAACAGGAGUAGAUACCCUGGUAGUC
rnacentral:rRNA from 1 species